rnacentral:lncRNA from 1 species
GCCCGAGCCUCCUCCCGCGCCCGCCCCGCAGCCCUGCCCUCGCCGGCUCACUCUCCCCAGCCCUGGAGGCCGCGCGAGGCCAGUCCCCCUCCAGGGCCUGUCAGGAGCCACCCUCCCAGCCCACAGCGGCACCCAGGUACCUGGCUCCGUGACAGGCAGCUUCAGGGACCCUUAUCAGAGGGCUCUCAGGGUGGGGCGGCUCCAUUUGCUUAAGGCUUAGUCGUGAGGGCCCCAGCCCCAUUACGUCAAGCCCGGCCCCUUAUAAGACGAGGGUCCCAGCCCCUGGUCCCAAGCAAGUGCCCAGCUCCAACAUGGCCCAGCUGCGCCAUAGCCUCUGCUCCACUUUUGGCCUCCUCCUCCUCCUUCUAGUGCCUUGGGCGGCAGGUGCUACAUCUCAAGAACUUCAGAAAGCUGGUGAAUCCUCAACACCUGAUCACUUAUCCUCCUUCACCCCAGGCCUUGUCCAUAAUGCUCCCUCUGACCACACUGCUCUGCAUUCAAAACAAAGACCUCCAGACCUCCCCAAACCUACUGAAAUUCAGAGGUCAAAACGCCACUGCAACACCACACGCCGUACCAGGCCAACUCCCAAACCUAUAGACAACUCCAGAGGUGCAGACUAUGAGGGCUCUGGAGUUCACCACAGACCUCCUCCCACUUCUAAACAAAACAGCAGCAAGCAAAAAGAGGAGCCAGUUAUCCAGGAAAAACCCUCUAACCAUCAUGUGGACUCCACUAACAUACACAAAAGAUCACCUAACCAACAGCAUUCAACCUCAGCACCCACGAGGAAAACAACUUGUAAGUCCACAAUAAGAAAAACAAGAGUAACAAAAAACACAGCUACAACCGUAACACCUGUGGAAAAGACUGCCAUUAGUUUGAAUAAUACAACCAUCAUCUCCCACAAGACUACAAUUCCUUUUCACAACUCAGUCAAUUCAGAGACCAACAUAAAAAACACAUCUUCCUCAGAAAAAAACACGCAAGCCACAAUGAUAUCAUACAAAACUACAAAAAGCCCAGAAAAGUCAGAUGGAGCUGAAGACUAUAGGACUACAGUUGUCUCAGGCAAUCCCCUCACAAACACUAUGAAAGAUAUAAAAGAGACAUCAGCCAGUGAGAAGGCCACAGGAGCGCAAACAACACCUCCAGAACAUGGAGGAAAGACCACGUUGGCCCAUAAGCUCACAGGACCCCACACAAUACUUCCAGAACAUGGUGGAGAGACCACGUCAGUCCAUGAGCUCACAGGACCCCACACAAUACUUCCAGAACAUGGCGGAGAGACCAUGUCGGUCCAUGAGCUCACAGGACCUCACAUAAUACUUCCAGAACAUGACGGAGAGACCACGUCAGUCCAUGAGCUCACAGGACCCCACACAAUACUUCCAGAACAUGGCGGAGAGACCACGUCGGCCCAUGAGCUCACAGGACCCCACACAAUACUUCCAGAACAUGGCGGAGAGACCACGUCGGCCCAUGAGCUCACAGGGGCCCAGGUGACACCUAAAGAACUUGAACAAAAUACCACAUUGGCCCAGGAGAAGACCACAAAAGCCCAAACAAUGCCUCUAGAUCAUCAAGAAAAGACUACAUCAGCCCAGGAGAAGACAACACAAGUCUCGCCAAAGUCCACAGAACACCCAGAAGAGACCACAUCAACCAUAGAGAAAACCACAAAGAUCUCCAAAACUCCUAUCGUGUACCCAAAGAAGACCACACUGACCACUGAGACCACAAAAAUCCUCGUAAAAUCCACAAAAACCCCAGAAAAUACAGCACCAGCAGCAAUCACAGAGACUACAAGACGUACAGUCAAGGUCCCAGGAGCCACAUCAGGUGCCUCUCCUCAUUUGAACACAACUGAGGUCACCCAUCAAGAGUCGGCUGGUUCUUUGCCAUUCACCACCUCUGGAAUGGACCACAGCUCCAUCACGUUAGAAGCCCCAGGCAGUAAGAGUCACCCACAGCAGAGUAGCGGUGCCUCACAGACAGGCCCCUACACUGGAGAGAAGGGGGCAAGCGAUUCAUUCCCUGCAUGGGCCAUAGUUAUUGUGGUCCUGGUGGCUGUGAUUCUCCUGCUGUUGUUCUUUGUUCUAAUCUUCUUGGUAAGGGACAGAGAAAUGAGUCCAUGAAAUAAGGAUUGAGGAGGGAUCAGGGGCCAGAGUGAGAGGAAGUGGUGUGUCUAGGAAAAGAGGUGGUAGAGGUGGAGCUUGGAAGCGGAUGGGUGGUAGUGAAAGGUAAGGGAAAGGAAUGAACACACAAGAUGUGCAAGUGGGAACUGGGGAGAAGGCUGUGGCUGAGACAAAAAGGGUGUGCAAGAGAGGGAUCUGGAGAUUGGAGGUAAGAGUUGCAGGUGUGAGAAAGACAGGUGUAAGGGCAAGAAUAGGACAGGGUGGGGCACUGGAGGUAGAGUCUGGGCUCAGAGUGUUGGGUCUGGGCCUGGAAUAAGGCUGGGAGCUUGGACGGAAUCUUGGGAAAGGAGCAAACUGAAAGGCCGGGGACUGGAAGAACAGAAUCAGGCCUGAGAUGUGGGUGCUGAGGAAAGCGAACAUGGGGCAGAUGGUUCUCAUCCCUCCUUUCUUGUUGCAAUCUCAGGUCUCCUUUAUGACUCGAGUACGCCGUGCCCUGACCCGGAACAUGGAGGACGAUGGCCUACAGGAUCACGAGGGCCCCAAUUCCUACCCAGUCUACUUGAUGGAGCAGCAGCAUUUGGGCACGGGACAGAUCCCUUCCCUGCAAUGAUCUUUUAGCAGGCACCCAAUCCCAGCUCUUCCAGGCUCUACCACUCCCCUGGAUGAUGAGUCAGACUCGCAAUUCCUAUUUCCUGGACUCCAGGAAGGGCAGAGAAUCCUGACAGUGGACAGCAUUAAUCCGACAUCAGCCUUGUUCUCAGUUGAAACUGGUUGGAGGAUGAGGUGAUUAUGAAGGGUGUAAGUUCUGGGGAAUGAGAAGAAAGAAUUAUUAACACAAGCAAGUGUUCCCUGGAGAAGGUGACGAUGGAGAAUACGAAGGUGCCUUGCGGACGCGUGGGGUGGGGACCAGCACGGGUGCCGAGUCCUGGGCCGGGGAGGGCGACCCCAGGUCCCACUGACUUGAGAGUGGGGAUUUGGGGAAGCAGAGAAAAUGAGGCCAGGGCUCCCAGCUCCGGGACUGACACAUGUGACUGUCUUUUGUCACCUAGACUUGUCUCUCAGUUCCUAGAAAACUUGCCUUUCCUUCUUCAAUGGAACCAAACCAAACCAAACCGGAUCUAAGCAGAAAAGAGGAUUACAAUACUUCCUUCUCCACUAUCUCUAUUCUCGGAGAAAGGAAUAUCCUGGAAAUAAUCAUAAGUAUCUCUCAUUCAGAUGGUUCCUCUCUUCUCCUGAAUCUCAGUUUCCCCAAAUGUCAGGGUGGGUUUCCUGCUGGUCUGGGUGGGCGCAGGGCGGGGACUUGCUUUUGGCCUGGGUGUCACCCACCCUGGCUGCCUUCCUCACCAGAAGCUAGCCUGGGGUUCAUCUGCCCCGCACCUGUGCCCGGCUCCGUGCUCCCCUGGGCGUUUCCUCUGCGUGUGCUUUAUGGAUUUUCUCACGCAUUGUAGCCUUUCACCUACGAGCGAUUGGGUAGAGAGGAAAGGACAGCAACAGAUCAUUUCCUUCUUUGGGAUUUUUUAAAAAAUAAAAUGCAACAUAUUUAUAAAGUAAGGACUCAGAGGCCCAUCUUUGGGGGAACGGACUGUUCAGCUCUGGCUGGGACCUUAGGGAUGGCCCCGGGGAGGAGGGGCUGGAGAACAGGACAGGACAGUUCUUCGGAGCCCAAGGGAGGACGGCUGGGCUUCUAUUGUAAAGGCAGUUUCUGGGUUUAGAUAAGAGCCCGUCUCAGUUUA